rnacentral:misc_RNA from 1 species
GAACGCACAUUGCGCCCGGUGGUAUUCCACCGGGCAUGCCUGUUCGAGCGUCAUUUCAACCCUCAAAGCCUAGCUUUGGUGUUGGAGGAAUACCUGUAAAAGGGUACCCUCUGAAAUUUAGUGGCGGGCUCGCUAGAAUUUUGAGCGUAGUAAUUUUACCUCGUUUUUAAAGACUAGUGGGUUCUUGCCGUAAAACCCCCCAACUUUCUGAAAAUUGACCUCGGAUCAGGUAGGAAUACCCGCUGAACUUAAG